UACAGAGGUCCCAAGCGUUGUUCGGAUUCACUGGGCGUAAAGGGUGCGUAGGUGGCCGGUUAAGUCUGACGUGAAAUCUCCGAGCCUAACUCGGAAACUGCAUCGGAAACUAUCCGGCUCGAGGGUUGGAGGGGGGACUGGAAUACUUGGUGUAGCAGUGAAAUGCGUAGAUAUCAAGUGGAACACCUGAGGUGAAGACGGGUUGCUGGGCUGACACUGACGCUGAGGCGCGAAAGCCAGGGGAGCAAACGGG
rnacentral:rRNA from 1 species